CAGUCUCAGAAGUAGAUACAUGGAAGUUUUCCUGAGGCUUACUGAGCAGUUGAGAAUCUUAUACAGAAAUAUGGAUGAAGAUACUCAGAAGACACUGCAUGUAACACUGCCAGAAGGAGAGUCCAGAAAUGGAUCAGACUGUAUUUGGUCCAUGGAGCAAUAGUUUGGACUAGUUAAAUGUGAGCACAUGAAGUGUUGAUGUAUCUAAACCUUGGCCAUAAAAAUUGAGCUGAUGUUCCAAUUUUAUUUCUGACUGUAUAUGAUGAAACCAAUGAAUCCCUGGUCUAGGAAAGUAACUGCUUGUAUAGAGAGACAUUGUACUCAAAGUACAUUACUGUUGAACAUCAGUGGAGAUAGCAGUGUUCACCACAGUACAGGGCUAAUGCCAGCAAUAUAUAGUUUUCCUUUGUAGAAUUCUCACUCUUGAGGGUGAUACUACUGUGACAACAAGAAGAGUAGCUUCUUUGCACAAUGGACUUUCUGAAGUGAGCAAUGCAGCUACCUGAUGUACAAGUACAAGGCUUGAAAGUUUUUCUUCCUCAGGUUCUGAAUUGUUCUUUUUCUAGGAGGGCAAUUCUUA